AGCAGGAUGGAGUAAUUGGUAGCUCAACGGGCUCAUUAUCCGUAGGCGAAGGUUCGAAUCCUUCUUCUGCUA
rnacentral:tRNA from 1 species